rnacentral:sRNA from 1 species
ACUCAAUAGCAACAUGGCUUGUAUUUACUAAGGAAAAGACCCAUGGGGGGAUCUUCAAAGAAGAACCACAGAACCCAUCCAUCCAUUGACUGCUUUGCGGGCUAUGGUAGCUUUGGGGUAGGAAAGAGGAAGGGAGGGGGGCCAAGUUUCCUUUCCUGAACCAUGGUUGGCUGUCGCUGGGUGUAGCUGGGGAAUGAAGUGGUGAGUUAACACUUUGUAAGUAAGGGGCCAUGAUUCACUGACUCAAAGAGCAUGCAAACUCUAAGAGUGUUUCCUUGUGCAGAAGCCCAUAACGCUGGGGUCCCCCCUUAUACAGAUCAGAGAGACACCCAAGUGAUCUCAGAGGCUUGAUUUAAAGCGCUUUGGAAUUCUGGGGUAGAUCAACUUUUUCUUACCCUAUCUCUAAGGACAUUCCAUUACCCCAGUGUUGGGGUUGCCUAGAAACUACUGACCCAUUGUCCUUGCUUCAGGUCAGAUGGUGGGGCAGUUUCUGGCCAGCUACCUGAAGCCUGGGUUUUUAGAUCUAAUCUCCUGAAUUUGAAGCCGGUCAUGGAGUAGCCUGUCUCAUCAGCUUGUCAAGUGACUUAUAAACAUCUUACACGUCAGCCAUUUUCUGGAGUCACUGGGAGUCACAGAGUUCAGAGAAGCACUGCUCCUGCCUCCAGAUCUCAGGAAAAGAGAAAGGAAUGGCCUUUAGUUGGAAUUUCCUCACUCCUGUUUAGUCUCACGGCCAUGUUCAGCCUGGACUCUUCCCUCCCUCUGCGUUCUCCCUUGUAUCUGCAAUAAAAAUGUCUCCAUACUCCCUCGCCUACGUCUUCCCUAUCUAUGACUCCUGGCGCCUGCUACACCCUCUGGGACACCUAACACAUGGGCAUCUCCCUGGGUGGCUAUCGUGUGGGCAUCUUUCUGCUAUGCUUUCCAGGGCUCGACCACGUGGUCAGUAAAUACAAAAGGGACCUCUGUUUCUCUGUAUGCAGCAAAAGGGUGGUGCAGUAGCAACAGCCAACAGGAAGAGAGCUCAUACAACACGGUGUCUACCACGAAGAAGAUAACUCUUAUCUUCAGCAAGCUUAUAGUAAAAGAACAGUCAUAAAUUAAAUCUCAAUGUCAAACACUGGUUGGCUACUCCUACAAGUUCUGUGCUACCGUU